CACACUCUUCGGGGUUUUAUGCCCUCUUUGUAUGGUACGAUGAAUCCAGUCAUGCCUAAAGCAGCUUCUACCUUCUAAGUUCCCUUAAGAGACUGCAGGGUGACUUUCAGCAAGACUACUUACUUUCUCAUUUUUUUUAAAAAUCCUCUUCAGCCACCUUUCUGCUGUUAACAGCCUGAAGGAGCAUCUCCACCAGCCGUGAAAGGCAAUCUAACGCCUUCCUCUUCUUCCUGGUGUGAGCAGAAGAGCCACGUAAGUAGAAAGGACAUCCACCGCUGCGUUGAAACACCCAGGAGCUGGCAGAUGAUGGACAGGAAACAGAGAGCUGAGACCCUGCUGUCCCUGUCACCUGCUGAAGCUGCCAACCUCAAGGAAGGAAUCAAUUUUUUUCGAAAUAAGACUACUGGCAAAGAGUACAUUUUGUACAAGGAGAAGGACCACAUAAAGGCAUGCAAAAACCUCUGCAAGCACCAAGGAGGCCUGUUCAUGAAAGACAUCGAGGAUUUAGAUGGAAGGUCCGUUAAAUGCACAAAGCACAACUGGAAGCUAGACGUGAGCACCAUGAAAUACAUCAACCCUCCAGGGAGCUUCUGUCAGGACGAGCUAGUUGUCGAAAUGGAUGGAGACAGUGGUCUUUUUCUCCUAGAACUGAACCCUCCUAACCCCUGGGACUUUGAUCCCAGGUCUCCCGAAGAGUUAGCUUUUGGGGAAGUACAGAUAACUUAUCUCACGCAUGCCUGCAUGGACCUCAAGCUGGGAGACAAGCGGAUGGUGUUUGACCCUUGGCUAAUUGGCCCUGCUUUUGCCCGAGGAUGGUGGUUGCUACACGAGCCCCCAUCUGACUGGCUGGAGAGGCUGUGCAAAGCAGACCUCAUUUACAUAAGUCACAUGCACUCAGACCACCUGAGUUACCCCACACUGAAGCAGCUUUCCCAGAGACGAUCGGACACUCCCAUUUAUGUUGGCGACACAGAAAGGCCUGUGUUUUGGAAUCUGGAUCACAGUGGUGUCCAGUUAACUAACAUCAACGUGGUUCCAUUUGGAGUGUGGCAACAGGUAGACAAAAAUCUUCGGUUCAUGAUCUUGAUGGAUGGCAUUCAUCCUGAGAUGGACACGUGCAUUAUUGUGGAAUACAAAGGUCAUAAAAUUCUCAACACAGUGGACUGCACCAGGCCCAACGGGGGAAGGCUGCCGGAGAAAGUUGCUCUAAUGAUGAGCGAUUUUGCUGGAGGAGCGUCAGGCUUUCCAAUGACUUUCAGUGGCGGAAAGUUCACUGAGGAAUGGAAAGCCCAGUUCAUUAAAGCGGAGAGAAGAAAGCUCCUGAAUUACAAAGCUCAGCUGGUGAAGGACCUGCGGCCCCGAAUCUACUGCCCGUUUGCCGGUUACUUCGUGGAAGCUCACCCAUCUGACAAGUAUAUUAAGGAAACAAACAUCAAAAAUGACCCAAAUCAGCUCAACAAUCUUAUCAAGAAAAACUCUGAUGUGGUGACCUGGACCCCGAGACCUGGAGCUACCCUUGACCUGGGCAGGAUGCUGAAGGACCCAACGGACAGCAAGGGCAUUGUGGAGCCUCCAGAAGGAACAAAAAUUUACAAGGAUUCUUGGGACUUUGGCCCGUACCUGCGGACCUUGAAUUCUGCUGUCGGAGAUGAGAUCUUCCUGCACUCCUCCUGGAUAAAAGAGUACUUCACUUGGGCUGGAUUUAAGGAUUACAACCUGGUGGUGAGGAUGAUUGAAACAGAUGAUGACUUCAGCCCCUUCCCUGGAGGGUACGACUACCUGGUGGACUUCCUAGAUUUAUCCUUUCCAAAAGAAAGGCCCAGCAGGGAUCAUCCCUAUGAAGAAAUCCGCAGCCGUGUGGAUGUCAUCAGGUACGUGGUGAAGAAUGGCCUGCUGUGGGAUGACCUGUACAUAGGAUUCCAGACCCGGCUGCAGCGGGAUCCUGACAUAUACCAUCACCUGUUUUGGAAUCAUUUUCAGAUAAAACUCCCUCUAACACCACCCAACUGGAGGUCAUUCCUGAUGCACUGUGGUUAGACCAGACCUGGCAUGUCCCAGCCUGCUUUCUUAGGUACCUCCAGGUCUACUUCCUAGAAAUGGCACCUCCCAAAGUGGCGGAGACCUUCCACAGCAAUCGUCAAUCAAGAAAAUGCCCUACAGACACGUGCACAGGACAAUUUGAUGAAGGCAAUUGCUCAGUUGAGAUGCCUACUUCCCACAUUCGUCUAGGACCCCAGCCCCUAGGAUGGUACCAGCACAUGCAAGACAGGUCCUCCCUGCUUGCUCCUACCUCUCUGGAAACACUCUCAUCCUCACCGACACCCCCUAACAAUUGUUAUUCAUCAGUAGUAUUGUUUAUUCAGAGGUGGCAAACAAUGACCAACGUUCAAGAAUGGGCUCUUACAUCCUGAACGCAGCCGUUUCUACCAAAGGAGACAUGUUUAUAUUCGCGAUGGACAAACACUACAUUUGAGAGAUGCUCACAUAUGUGCCUUUUGUGUGUCACCGCCUAGACGGACUCAAAACUACUUUACUGGGGCUGCCGAUGUGGCUUGGUAGUACAGCAUGGGCUCAGACGGCAUGACACCCUGGCUUCCAUGCCCAGUAUGCCCCUGAUCCACCCCACUCACACUCCCGUGCAAGAGGAACCAAAGAAAACCAAGAAGAAGGAGCUCUGUGUGGAAAAUAAAGCCAAAAAAAAAAAAAGAAAAAAGAAAAAGAAAAUGUGGGGGAACGGGAAGGGGAAAAGCUACAUAGGAGAUUCCAACAGCAAGAAGGAAGGAAGCAAAAGAAGAGAUGGUGGGCUCGGAGGAAAAGGGAGGAAAGAAAGGGAGACUGGAAGAAAAUGGGGAGGAGAAAAGGCUUCUGUAAUUUGAAAAGAAGACUGUAAAAAUAGCUCUUGUGUUCUUUGAUAGAUUCAUCCCCUAGACAGCAGCAUCAAGACUGCUUUCAGCUUUUCAGUUUUCCAGAGUGUUGUUGGUAUCGCCACAGGCCUGGGAUCUGUCCUAAGAGGUCCCAUCUCCCUAGAAGUGAAAUGACUUUGAUUCCAUUAUGAAGUCUGCCAAUUAAUGAAGCUUAGGAGUUGUAAUGGUUAACAGAUCUUUGAUUAAGGGAUGAUAUGAACACUAGUUAACAAUUAUACGCAGAAAGUACUUUAAAGAUAGAAAAUAAAAUAGAAAUAAAUAGAAUAAUAAUAGAAAAUAAUGAUCUUUAAUAAUGGAAAAUAAAAAUCUGUGUCUUCAAAAAUAACAGCAAAAAAACAACAUGAAAAAGAACCCAUUUUAAAAUGGGACUUCAAAAAUAUUGUUUCAGUGUUUGAAAUAGGCAGCUAACUUUCCUGUGGGGCUUUUUCUGUCUAUUUUUGAUUGUUUCAGAUGUACUAAUUUGUUUGUAAGAAACUGUAAUUGUUACCCAAGGUUCUACUUUGCACGUUGUUUUCCAACACUCCUUUACUCACUGACAGGACAAUCAAAUGCAUUUUCACCUGCCUCUCGAAUGUGACCUCAAAAUUGUUUCCAAACUCUAAUCGAGGGAAGACUGGCUCUCUCCUUCUCACUAAAUUCAACAACAGGAAUGAUAGAUUACUCUCGUUUACAUCACACUAGGAAAACCAGAAAUGCUUGAGUGUCAGAAAUUAAAGUGUGAUUUAUACUAUAUAGUAAAUUAUUCAGUUACUACUAAGAUAAUGAAAUGUUUAUCAAAACAGAUGUUCAAAUGUAUAUGAUGGGCAAAUAAAAGAUUAUUUUAAAAUAGA